rnacentral:lncRNA from 1 species
UAAAAUCAAAUAUUCUUAAGUCUGGCCUCUCCCAGCUUCCUUCCAGGAUGGGCUUUCUGGGUACCUGGUCAAGGGGGACUGACCCUGCUCCGUUUCUGCUUUAGGACAGGGACGAGGAGGAGAGACCAAAGUGUGUCCUUAAUUCUUGCUUAUAUUCAGACCCAGAUCCCGGGCAGCUUGGUGCACAUGGGCAAGGGAUAAACCCAGCACGGAUUGUGUUUCUUACCUGACUGACAAUUAGCCUGUAAAGAUCUUUCAGCGGGGCGGAUGUUGCUAGGGGGCGUGUCUGUGUGCAUUUUUUUUUUUUUUCAUGGUGGCCGUCUAAAGUUUUUUAGACAAUAUGUUUAAUCAUCAGUGCUUUAAAAAAGUGGCGGUAUCCUGUAGAGUGGGAAUUGGGCUGCGCGGCGUGUUUGGUGCGAGGCUGAAGUCACGGCGCAUUACCGUGGUUCACCAUCCAUGUGUGGGCUCUGGCCUCUGGGGCACCCAGGAGGGACACAUACACCCCAGCACCUGGGCAGGGCGGGGGGAGGGGUGCAAGUAGGGGGGACCCACCUUAGCUAGGCCAGCCUGCGUUUUCAUUUCAAAUGGGAUACAGUAUUUUUUUUUUUAAUAAGGAGCCAUACUUUUUAAAAAAAAAAGUUUGAGAUCUGAAUGUGAUUUCUAAUUGUACCAGACGUUAAUGUUUUAAAGCUAUAACAAAGUUUAAAAUUUCUACCUUUUUUUUUUCAUUUAACUGUUCUUUUAUCUAUUAAAUUGUUGUAUGUGGACGGGGAAGUUUUGUCUUUCCUCUUAGCAUUUGUUUCUAUAACCAGAAAUAAAAUUAUAUAUUAAAGAAACG